UUUUAGUUAGUGCCUAAUGACAUCCCUCUUUACUUGAGUAUUUGUGGCGCCAUUUAUUAAGAAGGUGGUUGGUUAAUAAUAAGCUACAGAGGUGCAGAACAUGGUGCAAAAACUUGAGGUUAAUUUUCUUCCCGUAUAUAUGAACACAACAGGCAUGGCUGCCAGCGUUGUAUGUGUGAACUUAUAAGUGGCUUUUCAUAACGGCGACACCGAAUGGAACAGCCUUUUACACAGGCAUAAAACCGUACUCCGGCUAUAUUACCUGAGUGCUAAAGUACACGUCACAGUCUUAAUAGCGCAAAAGAAAGUGAUGGCACCAUGCAGUAAAGCACCUCCAAUUAAGUGGCCACGACAUGCGACCAAGCAUAUACUGAGUAAGGAAUUACAUCGCAAUGGUUUGGACGGAAAUGAACUGUCGCACAACGUGAUUCUAGAAGUUUCGACAAGGUCAAAAAUGUAGUCGAGACGUUGUCUUCAGUUAAUUUCCUUCUUCGACCACUGCUAAUCAUUUCAAGCCUCGAUGUUCUGGUGAACUUCCCUUUUGUUUGAACGUGCCUACUGAGUCCCAUGUAAGCAUCCGGCUCGCAUAGUAGUAGCACGACGGAACUGUUAAACGCUUCGAGCUUUCGCGAGGGUUAUUGUGGCUAAAAGGCUCACAGUUUCUUGUUUGCGCUCCAAGUGCUGAAUUCUUAGUAUUCGUUCUGAAUAUCCACCAAUCGGCCCAACCAUUCUCAUUGAUGCUCACUAUAUUCCGACUGCGCCUAAUUAAGAGCCGUAAUUAAGGAGUUACGAAAUAGGAGGAGAAUAGAAGGAAAUACGUACGAGAGAAAAAUAAUAUUCAAGCUUGGUAUUCGCCACCUUCUUGCUGCGAUCUGUGUGAGACGUACUGUGCCUAAGAGUGCGGCUGCGAAAUUCUGCGCUCGACAGUUUCGCGGCAUAGACACCAUAGUCUUUCGCCGUUCCCACGUUUCUAUUUGACCUAAUACAGAUGUACACGAAAUACUAACUAGAAUUACUGCCACAACGGUAGCUUUUCACAUUUUUUGGGGAGCCGUAUACAGGAAGCAAAGUGCACCUUACCUUAAGUCUGCCAUCGUGGAAGAGAAUAUUUGCUGAUUUUUGUUUUUUCUCCACAAUUUCAGCCUUGUUGGCGUACGCUGGCCUAGGGCCCGUUUCGAACAUUGGUGUCGUUGGCGCUGUCGGACUUGGAGGCGGUGUCACCGGUGUGGGCUUAGGAAGUGGACUCAACCUUGCCGGCCCAGACGCCUCUGCUAGUGAAGGGUACCCUAACCUAGGCACGCCCGUUUCACCUAGGUCAGGGUUUCCAGGCAGUGUUCCUACCGUUCCGAGCCGGUUUCCUUCUAGCUCCGGAUCAUCUUCCUUUGGUAGUCCUGGAUUUUUCGGAUCUGGCACUGGAUCCACGGGAGGACCUGACUCAUUGGGUUCCUUGGGCGUUGGUUCAAUUGGAGGCGUUUAUGGUUCACCGAGCUCUGCACCCGUCUCAAGCCCCCAAUAUUACGGAUAUGGCGAUAUGAAUGGCUUCUACGGCAAUAACUUCGGAUACGGAAGUUAUGGCACUGGUUACGCUCCUUCUGGUGGCUAUGGCUCCGGCUAUGGCUCAGGCUUUGGUUACGGCUCCGGCUUCAGCUCUGGCGUCAACGGCUACGGAGGAAGCUUUGGAAAUAGGUUCGGUUCUAUUGGAGCCCCCUGGAGUGGUUAUUUAUCGUUCCCAGCUGGCGGAAACGUCUAUAGGCGGCGAGAUUUAGGCUUCCAUUCCGGCUCUACCGGUUUUGGUAGCAACCGUGACAGCUCUGGAUCCUUUGGAACAUCUGUGAGAGCGAGUGGAAGCUCGGCAACAAGAAGUGCUGGCUCGUCUUCUUCCUGAUCUAGCCACUAAUCAAUUGACGCUAUCAUGCCCAGCCAUCUUAAGAAAAUCAUUGCCUCUGCCGGUUCCUGCCUGGAUAUUUCAAUGAACAAGAAUGACUGUAGACACAUAAAGGAACACCUCGCUGCAAUCCCUUGCAACGACCUAACAAUAAUCAUCUUAUUUAAGUUUGUUAUUGAAAAUAUGCGUCCUCGUUUGUAAGAGUGUAGUGGACGGAGUCAGCGACCGCCAUGCUUUACCAAGAUAUUGCGGAGUAUCACUUAAUAUAUAUGUACUAGGGUGAACAUAGUGAAUUCGCGUUCACCCUAUUACCGAGUCUGACGACUCCUGUAGUAGUAGGCGCUUAGCAACUGUCCGAUUGAAUUCGUAUUCGUUAUGAUCUGAACCUUAUCUACACUGUUCUAGAUUUUGUACAAGUGACCUAGAAACUCCAGCUUUCGGAGAACUUCUGU
rnacentral:lncRNA from 1 species